rnacentral:tRNA from 1 species
AGGGGUGGCCGAGUGGUCGAAGGCGCACGAUUGGAAAUCGUGUAUACUCCUAAAGGGUAUCGUGGGUUCGAAUCCCAUCCCCU